ACUAAGCGUAUGUGGUGGAUGCCUAGGCGAUAAGAGGCGAUGAAGGACGUAGUAAUCUGCGAAAAGCCCCGGUGAGCUGAUAAACAAGCUGUGACCCGAGGAUGUCCGAAUGGGGAAACCCGGCACUAUAAGGUGUCAUCGUAAUCUGAAUACAUAGGAUUACGAAGCUAACCCGGAGAACUGAAACAUCUAAGUACCCGGAGGAACAGAAAUCAACCGAGAUUCCCUUAGUAGCGGCGAGCGAACGGGGACCAGCCCUUAAGCGGCUUUAAUGAUAAGAGAACACGUUGGGAAGCGUGACCAGAGUGGGUGAUAGUCCCGUAUCUGAAAUCAUUUUAGUCGUGAAAACGAGUAGGUCGGGACACGUGAUAUCCUGAUUGAACAUGGGGGGACCAUCCUCCAAGGCUAAAUACUCCUUAUCGACCGAUAGUGAACCAGUACCGUGAGGGAAAGGCGAAAAGAACCCCGGAGAGGGGAGUGAAAUAGAACCUGAAACCGCAUACGUACAAGCAGUGGGAGCCUGAAUUUAUUCGGGUGACUGCGUACCUUUUGUAUAAUGGGUCAGCGACUUACUCAUCGUGGCAAGCUUAAGCGUAUAGCGUAGGCGUAGGGAAACCGAGUCUUAAUAGGGCGACAAGUCGCGGUCAGUAGACCCGAAACCGAGCGAUCUAUCCAUGGCCAGGUUGAAGGUGGGGUAACACCUACUGGAGGACCGAACCCACGUAUGUUGAAAAAUGCGGGGAUGAGCUGUGGAUCGGAGUGAAAGGCUAAUCAAGCUCGGAGAUAGCUGGUUCUCCUCGAAAUCUAUUUAGGUAGAGCCUCAUGUAUUACUCACGGGGGUAGAGCACUGUUAUGGCUAGGGGGGCCUGACCGCCUUACCAACCCAUUGCAAACUCCGAAUACCGUGAAGUAGCAGCAUGGGAGUCACACGGCGGGUGCUAACGUCCGUCGUGGAAAGGGAAACAACCCAGACCGCCAGCUAAGGUCCCAAAAUUACAGCUCAGUGGGAAACGAUGUGGGAAGGCACAGACAGCCAGGAGGUUGGCUUAGAAGCAGCCAUCCUUUAAAGAAAGCGUAAUAGCUCACUGGUCGAGUCGGCCUGCGCGGAAGAUUUAACGGGGCUCAAGCUGUAUACCGAAGCUGCGGAAUCGGAUUUAUCCGAUUGGUAGAGGAGCGUUCUGUAAGCCAAUGAAGGUGAAUCGUAAGGUUUGCUGGAGGUAUCAGAAGUGCGAAUGCUGACAUAAGUAACGAUAAGACGGGUGAAAAACCCGUCCGCCGAAAAUCCAAGGUUUCCUGCGCAACGUUAAUCGGCGCAGGGUUAGUCGGCCCCUAAGGCGAGGCAGAGAUGCGUAGUCGAUGGGAAACAGGUUAAUAUUCCUGUACCGCUAAUAAGUGCGAUGGGGUGACGGAGAAGGCUAGGCUAGAACACAGUUGGUGUGUAUCUAAGCGUUUAGGCAGAGAACUUAGGCAAAUCCGGGUUCUUAAUGCUGAGGCGUGAUGGCGACGGUUCUACGGAACUGGAGUAGUCGAUGCCAUGCUUCCAGGAAAAACCUCUAAGCUUCAGCUUAUUAGUGACCGUACUCUAAACGGACACACGUGGAUAGGAUGAGAAUUCCAAGGCGCUUGAGAGAACUCUGGUGAAGGAACUAGGCAAAAUAGCACCGUAACUUCGGGAGAAGGUGCGCCCCUGACGGUUCAUAGCUGUUGGGGGCCGCAGAGACCAGGUGGCUGCGACUGUUUAUCAAAAACACAGCACUCUGCUAACGCGAAAGCGGACGUAUAGGGUGUGACGCCUGCCCGGUGCCGGAAGGUUAAUUGAUGGGGUUAGCUUCGGCGAAGCUCUUGAUCGAAGCCCCGGUAAACGGCGGCCGUAACUAUAACGGUCCUAAGGUAGCGAAAUUCCUUGUCGGGUAAGUUCCGACCUGCACGAAUGGCGUAACGACGGCCACACUGUCUCCACCAGAGGCUCAGUGAAAUUGAAAUCGCAGUUAAGAUGCUGCGUACCCGCGGCUAGACGGAAAGACCCCGUGCACCUUUACUACAGCUUUGCACUGAACAUCGGGCCUACUUGUGUAGGAUAGCUGGGAGGCUUUGAAACCGGGACGCUAGUUCCGGUGGAGCCAAUCUUGAAAUACCAGCCUGGUAGUUCUGAUGUUCUAACCACGGCCCCUGAUCGGGGUUUGGGACAGUGUAUGGUGGGUAGUUUGACUGGGGCGGUCUCCUCCUAAAGCGUAACGGAGGAGCGCGAAGGUUCACUAAUCAUGGUCGGAAAUCAUGAGGUUUGUGCAAAGGCAUAAGUGAGCUUGACUGCGAGACAGACACGUCGAGCAGGUACGAAAGUAGGUCUUAGUGAUCCGGUGGUUCUGUAUGGAAGGGCCAUCGCUCAACGGAUAAAAGGUACGCCGGGGAUAACAGGCUGAUACCGCCCAAGAGUUCAUAUCGACGGCGGUGUUUGGCACCUCGAUGUCGGCUCAUCACAUCCUGGGGCUGAAGCGGGUCCCAAGGGUAUGGCUGUUCGCCAUUUAAAGUGGUACGCGAGCUGGGUUCAGAACGUCGUGAGACAGUUCGGUCCCUAUCUGCCGUGGGCGUUAGAAUAUUGAGGAAAGCUGCUCCUAGUACGAGAGGACCGGAGUGGACGAACCUCUGGUGUACCGGUUGUCACGCCAGUGGCAUAGCCGGGUAGCUAAGUUCGGACAGGAUAACCGCUGAAAGCAUCUAAGCGGGAAGCCCCUUCCAAGAUGAGUAUUCUCUGGAGACUAGAUCUCCCUAAAGGGCCGUUGAAGACUACGACGUUGAUAGGCACCAUGUGGAAGCGCAGUAAUGUGUGUAGCUAAGGUGUACUAAUUGCCCGUGAGGCUUGAUU
rnacentral:rRNA from 1 species